GGCCCAGGACGCCACCUACUGUCCGCAAGCAGCUUCUGAGAGCAGCCUAACAGGAAACUGCGGGUGACGGGGCGAGAGCGCGCGUCUCCGCGGCUGCGCAGAGAAGGGGCUCCAGGGGGCCGCGCAGACUGGAUUUAAGUGUUUUGGGGAGGAAGACCAUGGACAGGAAAAGACGUUAUCAUCAGAUCAUAUCAAGGCCUCCAGAGUAAUGAUGAAUGGAAGUGAUGAGAGUUGGCACCUUUGUAUUAUUUCUUAUCUUUGGGAAAAUGUGAGCUUUUGAAG